CAGGGCUGCGGGGUGGAGGCCAGCCCUGCUCAGCCCAGCAGGGGCUAUGAGGGGGAGCUGUGGCCCCCGGCGGACUGACUCCUGCAGGAACCCCAGGGGCAUGGGUUCGAAGGGGAUGGGGACCCAAACACCAAGCGGCUCCAUCAGGAAGACUGACUGCAGGUGCGACGGAGACAGGGAGGCAAGGGCUUCUUCCCCCCGUGUGUGCUGGAGCAGCUCAAGGUGGCACGAGACGCUGGACGAGUGUGAGUCCCCAGGGCAGCAGUGGGCGGGCGUCGCUCUAGGCCAUGUGACUGCACAGCUCUGUGGGUCCGUGGGACCCCCUCUCCUGGCAGGAGCCCACGUACCGCAACCUCUCUGGGGCUGGCUGGGGCAGUGGGGCCUGGCCCUUGGUGGGGUUUAGCCCUGGGCUGAUACUUUCAAGUUCACA